GAGAACAGUAUAGGUAAGCGACGCACCUUCUCUCUCCCGACAAUUAAAGCGGAGCUAAGCAUGUAGAAAGCGUAAAUCAUACUAUGUUUGGACGAGGGUUCGAAUCCCUCCGGCUCCACAA
rnacentral:tmRNA from 1 species